ACCACUUUUAUUCUUCAUACUGCUUAAUUUCAUGAUGUAAAUUAGUCCUCAUAUCUUGCACAACUAUUAACCACAUUAAAAAAAUAAUUACGAUGGCAAAUUCUCCUAAAUAUAUAUAUGCUCAAACUAAUCGCAGACUAGUAUUUUAUUAUGCCACGGGUGCGCACGAAGCGCGCUUUCCCCGCUAGUACUCUGCAAGUAUAAGUAGGUACCAAAAUUCUAUAUCCAUUUCUUUAUUCACCAAAGCCUCCCGUUGCAUGACACGGAGUAGCAACUAAUUAAAACCAAAGGUAACACGAGCGCGUCACAUUGUACAUAACCAAACCCCAAACAAGAGAUACAGGAGCACGCAUGCAUGAAUGUUAUAACACUCCGCCUGCGCACGUCGUCGACCGAUCGGCUAGUUGGUCG
rnacentral:lncRNA from 1 species